GAUAUUCUACUUUCAGCAUUCUGAAGUCAUGGAAAUUCUUACUGUAGAAACUCAAUAAACUUAUAAGUAGACCUUUACUUUUUAGUUCAUUACUGAGAAAAUAAUGAAUACAGUCUCAUGAAGGUGAGUUUUCAGAAAAUAGAAGCAUGAGUUGUGAAGAUAAUAUUUUUAAAGUUUCUCUAAUUUGUUUUGUUUUGCAGGCUAUAGGUUCCAGGCUUGCUGUAAUUACCCAGAAUAUAGCAAAUCUUGGGACAGGAAUAAUUAUAUCUUUCAUCUAUGGUUGGCAACUAACACUGUUACUUUUAGCAAUUGUACCCAUCAUUGCAAUAGCAGGAGUUGUUGAAAUGAAAAUGUUGUCUGGACAAGCACUGAAAGAUAAGAAAGAACUAGAAGGUGCUGGGAAGAUCGCUACUGAAGCAAUAGAAAACUUCCGAACCGUUGUUUCUUUGACUCAGGAGCAGAAGUUUGAACAUAUGUAUGCUCAGAGUUUGCAGGUACCAUACAGAAACUCUUUGAGGAAAGCACACAUCUUUGGAAUUACGUUUUCCUUCACCCAGGCAAUGAUGUAUUUUUCCUAUGCUGGAUGUUUCCGGUUUGGAGCCUACUUGGUGGCACAUAGACUCAUGAGCUUUGAGGAUGUUCUGUUAGUAUUUUCAGCUGUUGUCUUUGGUGCCAUGGCCGUGGGGCAAGUCAGUUCAUUUGCUCCUGACUAUGCCAAAGCCAAAAUAUCAGCAGCCCACAUCAUCAUGAUCAUUGAAAAAACCCCUUUGAUUGACAGCUACAGCACAGAAGGCCUAAAGCCGAACACAUUGGAAGGAAAUGUCACAUUUAGUGAAGUUGUAUUCAACUAUCCCACCCGACCGGACAUCCCAGUGCUUCAGGGACUGAGCCUGGAGGUGAAGAAGGGCCAGACGCUGGCCCUGGUGGGCAGCAGUGGCUGUGGGAAGAGCACGGUGGUCCAGCUCCUGGAGCGGUUCUACGACCCCUUGGCAGGGAAAGUGCUGCUUGAUGGCAAAGAAAUAAAGCGACUGAAUGUUCAGUGGCUCCGAGCACACCUGGGCAUCGUGUCCCAGGAGCCCAUCCUGUUUGACUGCAGCAUUGCCGAGAACAUUGCCUAUGGAGACAACAGCCGGGUGGUGUCACAGGAAGAGAUUGUGAUGGCAGCCAAGGAAGCCAACAUACAUGCCUUCAUCGAGUCACUGCCUAAUAAAUAUAGCACUAGAGUAGGAGACAAAGGAACUCAGCUCUCUGGUGGCCAGAAACAACGCAUUGCCAUAGCUCGUGCCCUUGUUAGACAGCCUCAUAUUUUGCUUUUGGAUGAAGCCACAUCAGCUCUGGAUACAGAAAGUGAAAAGGUUGUCCAAGAAGCCCUGGACAAAGCCAGAGAAGGCCGCACCUGCAUUGUGAUUGCUCACCGCCUGUCCACCAUCCAGAAUGCAGACUUAAUAGUGGUGUUUCAGAAUGGGAGAGUCAAGGAGCAUGGCACGCAUCAGCAGCUGCUGGCACAGAAAGGCAUCUAUUUUUCAAUGGUCAGUGUCCAGGCUGGAGCAAAGCGCCAGUGAACUGUGACUGUAUGAGAUGUUAAAUACUUUUUAAUAUUUGUUUAGAUAUGGCAUUUAUUCAAAGUUAAAAGCUAGCACUUAUAGAAUUAUGAAGAGGUAUCUGUUUAACAUUUCCUCAAUCAAGUUCAGAGUCUUCAGAGACUUCGUAAUUAAAGGAAUAGAGUGACAGACAUCAUCAAGUGGAGAGAAAUCAUAGUUUAAACUGCAUUAUAAAUUUUAUAACAGAAUUAAAGUAGAUUUUUAAAGAUAAAAUGUGUAAUUUUGUUUAUAUUUUCUCAUUUGGACUGUAACUGACUGCCUUGCUAAAAGAUUAUAGAAGUAGCAAAAAGUAUUGAAAUGUUUGCAUAAAGUGUCUAUAAUAAAACUAAACUUUCACAUG
rnacentral:sRNA from 1 species